rnacentral:rRNA from 1 species
UACGUAGGGCGCAAGCGUUGUCCGGAAUUAUUGGGCGUAAAGAGCUCGUAGGCGGCUUGUCACGUCGGGUGUGAAAGCCCGGGGCUUAACCCCGGGUCUGCAUUCGAUACGGGCUGGCUAGAGUGUGGUAGGGGAGAUCGGAAUUCCUGGUGUAGCGGUGGAAUGCGCAGAUAUCAGGAGGAACACCCGUAGCGAAGGCGGCACUCGGGGCCGAUACUGACACUGAGGAGCGAAAGCGUGGGGAGCGAACAGG